rnacentral:rRNA from 1 species
UACGUAGGGUGCAAGCGUUAAUCGGAAUACUGGGCGUAAAGCGUGCGCAGGCGGUUGUGCAAGACCGAUGUGAAAUCCCCGGGCUUAACCUGGGAAUGGCAUUGGUGACUGCACGGCUAGGAGUGUGUCAGAGGGGGGUAGAAUUCCACGUGUAGCAGUGAAAUGCGUAGAGAUGUGGAGGAAUGACCGAUGGCGAAGGCAGCCCCCUGGGAUAACACUGACGCUCAUGCACGAAAGCGUGGGGAGCAAACAGG